rnacentral:lncRNA from 1 species
AUGUCCUGGUGCAGCAGCUACAACAGGCUGGAGGCUGAAACAGCUCGGCGCGGGCCGCCGCUGUCGCUGCCCGGGCCGCUGCUGGUAGCUGGCUCUCCCUGGGAGCGCGGCCCUCGGUUCCCGGUUUCCUGGCCCAGUCCGCCGCCGCGGCGCGUCUUUCCCCGGCUCCGGCGGCUCGGUCACUGCUCCUGGCUGUUGGCUGAGCUCUGGAAGCCCCCUCGCCUUAAUGCAGCGCCCGCCGACGUCACCGCGGCCCGCGACCAAUCAGCUGCUCGCGGUCCCUCUGUAAACCAUUCUGCAUCUCCCGGCCCGGGAGAGUGCCGGGAGACCGCGUUUGGAGGAUCAGUAGCCGCGGCACCCGCGGUCCGGCGCGGCGCCGACAGAGAGGUUCCCAGGGCCCCAAUUGCUUCGCCUCUGCCUGCACUGCUCUGGAACUCCGAGACUCUCCGGCAACCCCCGUCGUGCCCCCCGCGUCACAUUUUCAUUUGGAACCGAAGCCGAAGGCGGCCCUGCUCUUCGUUGGCGCUUGGCACCACCUUGACCUCUGCCCUCACAGCGCACCCUGCAUUUAAACCCAAGUGGACUCAGCGAAGGACAGCAGCCUUCCCUUCUCGCCCUCGCCGCCAAGUUUACGGUCUCCCAAAGGAGGUACACAAGCGCUUUCCUACCCAACGUCUCCAAGUGGCACAGACCAACAACCACGUACAAGGCCUCAGGACUAUCGCAUAUUGGACCGGGUGCUGUGGGAGGAACUUGGCGGCUGUGCUGUCGCUCAGUGGCCGCAAAAUCCUUUUCACCCACUGCCAGGCUCUCCUGGUAAAGGCCCCAGAGGACUCCGGAAGCGGUUUUCACUCUCCAGGUUUCUCUUCUGAGAAGCGCCACGAGGGGAGGGACCCAGCUCAGGAACUGGAGAUACCGGGGCUUCUGCCAGUCCACCUCAAACUCCCUGUAGCUUGGGGGGCCAGAAGGCACUCCCUCCUGCACCCCUUUCCUCCCUCCGCCUUCCUGGUCCCGAACUCCACCUCCCCUCGCUCCCCGAAGUUCCCGCGAGUGGCUCGAGGGCCCCGAGGAUUGGAGGCGUCUGGGUCACCGGCGCUCGGGCAGUUUCCCCUCCCUCCCCGCCGCCCCGGAACAGAGAAGCUGUGGCGUCUCCCGCCUGCCCUCCGCGGACCCCAGGGGAGGGCGGUGAGCCGCAGACGGAGGCGCCCGGGACAGAGAGCGCUCUCGGCGGUUACCCCGCGCCUGGCUGCCGGAAUGGGGCGUGAGCCGGUCGCACCCCUGGCCCAGUCGGUUCGGGAGGAUGCGGCAGAUGCGACAUAUGCGACAGAAGGGAACUGUUCCGCCGGGUCCCAGGAUCUCGCCGCGCCCUCUCCCGCCCUUCCCAUCCCUUCUCCAGUUCUCACCAGGUUCCCUUAAUCUCAUUUCCUCUGUCAUCGAAAUGACCUACUUGUGCGCAGCAUUUUACAGUUUACUUCGCUGUCUUUUCUGAACCGCAGAGUAAGGCAGGGUGGGUGUUUGCGUAUCGGUAUUAUUUCUCGAUAUUUCCGAGGAGGAAAACCAAGUUAGGGCAUUUGUCCGAGAAGCCUCAAUUCAUGCUCUUUUGGAGGUGAGGAGUUUGGGGGGCCUGCCACCGGGCUCUAUUGUGUACUUGCCGCCGGUCAAGAUUUUCACGGGGCCUUGGGCAGACGGAUCACUAGGCCGGAGAAGGGCAGCAUCCGGUCACGGUGUGCGCUCGGCCUGGGUAAACAACGCGGGCUUCCCACGAGGGCCGGAGGGGACCCUGGGCACCCGGAGGGGGUUGGCAAGGUCGAGCCUGGCGCUCUCAGAUGCGAGGCGGCGCGGUGCCGAGGAGCGGAGACGAGACGGUGGAGCGCCUCGGUGGGGAGAGGGGACAGGAGCAAAAGAUCAGAGAAGAGGAGGAAUGCGGGAAAGUAGGCGGGGAAUGAGGAAGGAGAGACGUGGGGGAAAUGCGUGAAGGAGGACUGGAGGUGGGGAGAGGGGACAGGAGCAAAAGAUCAGAGAAGAGGAGGAAUGCGGGAAGUAGGCGGGGAAUGAGGAAGGAGAGACGUGGGGGAAAUGCGUGAAGGAGGACUGGAGGAAAAGAAAGGGAAAAAAGACCCAACGAGGCACCCGGCGUCAAAGAGGCGGCGGGCAGAGGCGCGCAGUUGGAGGGUGUGGCAGGCGCCGGCCGAGGGGGCACCCGGCGGGACUCGGCGGGUGUGUGGGUGUGUGACAGGCGCGUUCGCCGGCGGGAGAAAAGAAGGCGGCGUGUUUGGUGGGAGACUCAGCGCCCGUGGAAAGCCUGCGAGCAGCUCUGGGCAGGAAUCCAACAAAUAAAUAAAACGUCUAAGAUGGCGUGACAACAAUGUGUAUUUGGGUGCGUGCCCGUGUUCCUCUGUUAGAACACACACUCCCUGGUAAGGAAGACAAACGGGGCUCGUGCCUGAGAGUAAUUAAUCCUCUCACUAAUUGACUCUCCCCUUACCUAUCGGUCACUGCCGAUAUCUGGAGAGAUAGCAAGUGAGAAGAAAGAGAGAGAGAACCCCAAAGUUAACUACCUUUGGGACUGGGAGAGUUCUUUUUGGACUUGGCAACUCUAAGCCCUCCCUCCCUUUGGGCAGGAUUCAAUAGGUGCUGCUGCCUGGGCCCCUCCAAGUCUGGGCAGCAUUACUCAAGAUCUCCUCAGAUUGGGGUAACCUCAGCUCCCAGGGUGCCCCCCUCCAGGCUUCCCUAUAUCCCUCACCGGAGGAGAUCAAUCAGUGACCCACUGAGACGCCACCUACAGACCUCCUGCUGGACAUCUCCUACCUCCAGGCAGUACCAAGGUGCCUCCCCUAUCCCAUACCUCACCCCUGCCCCCUGUUACCCCUCCCCCAGGAGCCCAGACCCUGCACCCCUUCUUUCAGUCACUCUGUACUCUUCCCAGGCCCCCUGUUGUGUCCUGUGGUCCCUAGUAGAGCAGAUGAGGUUUUGAAUGUGUUGGGAAGCAGCCUUGAAUAGAUGGAGAACAGCGGGUGGGAUGGAGAGAGGUGUCUUAAGACAAACCCACUCAGACACAGAAGCCCAGAGGAGAGCGUGCAGGCAUGGCAGGAAUAAGGCUUCCAAAGACAGGAGGAAAAAGGCAGACACCAUGCACCGUGGGAGACUGUGCGCAGUGUGGGAGGGCAGGGGGUGGCUGUGUGGCCAUGAGAGGGGGGCAGUUCUGGUUUCUCCAGAGCAUGGAGAGGUGCUCCCUUUCCAGUUCUUAGGACUGGGGUGAGGAGGCAGGGAGGAGGGCAUUGGACUAGGGUUGGCCUGUGGAGAGUUGAGUCUGUCUGUGGAUGCGGGCUUGGGUUUGGGAGGUGGCAGCUUUGCUCUGUUAGCCUCUUCAGAGGCUAAAGAAAUAAAUGCUGAGAUCCAUAAACCACCCAGCCCAGGGGAAGGAAGGAGGGGGGAAGGGCAGCUGCUCCCCGGAAAAAAAUCCACAUCCCUCCCCCCACUAAACACAUUCUUAAUUGUCCCUGGGGAACAUUUGUACAUUUGACCAAAGCAAAUCCCCAAGCAGUAACAGCAAAAUUAGCCAUAGAGACUGGCUGCCCAGGGAGAGCUGGGGAUCUACAGAAGGGGGAAGCAAGACGAGAUGGUGAGCCUGUUUGGGAAGCUGAGAAACUUGGCUCCUCUUCCACUGUCUCUGUCAUGCCUUAGAAGGAAAGUGAGCAAGAGGAAUAAAGUUCUAGAGGAAAGAAGGAGAAGGGCAUAUAAAAGGCAAAUCCAGACCAGAGAGGAAAGAAAGUGAAGAAGAAAGCAGAAGGCGGGGAAGGAGGAGGAGGACUAUAAUAAAAGAGGGUGAAGGCGGCCCCAGGAGGCUGGGCCUCGUCCCCAACCAUCCGUCUUCAUUGUCUCCGUGUGUGCAAAGGCAACUCCGGCAUAAGGAAAAGCCACUAUUGGAGCCGCGGCUUUAUUUUAUAUCCUAUACAUCAGGAGGGAGGCAAAGCUUUAUUUUCGCCAAGAGACAGAUAUUUUAUUUCUCUCUUACGGUUUUAUGUGUGAGAGAUGUCAGGCUGCCACAAUGGAUGGCUAAUGCAUAGGCAAGAGGAAGCCGUGUUGGCAUGCUGUGUGUCGUGGGGUCUUGGGGGGGUGAGCGGGCCUGGGAUUUAGGGCUGAUGGGACACUCUGGGGGAUUUCUGCUAAAACAUCUCUCUUCAUAAAUCCAGAAGCAUGGUCAGCUCAACAGGGAGAAGAAGGAGUUUUAGAGGGAAAGAGUUGGGCUUAGUAAUAAACGAGCACACAAAGGAACCGCUUACCUUCCAAUAGGCUCGGGCAACCAGGGGCCCGGGGUCCUUGGAAAUGUAGAGACCCACGUCCAGACAUACCUGCCAUUCAUAGACGAGCAUUUUCCACCAGAAGUCAGUGUCUGUUUUGCCUUUUUUUUUUUUUUGUCCCUUCCCUUUCCCCAGAAAUCUUUUUUAACCUCCUCAGAGCCUUGGGGGAAAAGAGCCAUUAAUUUGCAAAUCAUCUGAACUGCGAAAGGAUCAAGAUGCCUAUGUUUUACGGCUAAAUCCAGCGUCUGAGUGGACACACAUAUGCACAUAUGAGCCCCUCGUGCCGUGAGCUCUGGGAGGGUGGGCACCAGAUUUGAAUCCAGGAAAAGCCCCCAGGGACCUGCUGCUGAAUUAAGCCUUAGAUCCCAAACUGCAUAACCUUCAGCUUUUUAAACGUGGAGAGAAGGGAGAUGAGGGCGACAAAGAGAUGGAGGGGGAAGUUUGUUAAUUAACACCUUCCGUCCAGGACUUCGACUAAUUGUCUUCCCCUCUCCCAGCCCCCCAAGCCAUUUCUUACAAAAGUUGCUUUGAUUCAAUCUCCUGUCCUACUCUUUCGAUUAUUUUUUAUUUUUUGGCUUACAUCCACUGUGGAGGGGAAAAGUUACUGCCCUCUUUCCUUUUUUCUCAGAGGAUUCCAGGUGGCACACGGUCCCCAGACAAUAAGCGCGAGGACCUGUCCCCACUUUCCUGGCUGUGGCCUUUAGAGGAGACACUUAACCCUUCUGGUCCUCAGUUUCCUCAUCUGUAACCCAAAGGGAUUGCUCUAAACGAGUGCUGGGGUCCCUUCCAGCUCCCACCUCCUCUGUCCGAAUGAGAUAAUAUGUGAAAACGCUUUGUUAAGGGUAAAGCCGGACGAAUGCGAGGAAUAUUAUUACGAUUUCUAAUCAAUCCUCUUUUCUCCGCAUGGAUCUUGAUUGUUUAGCACCAGCAAGCAGGGUAGGGAGGGCUGAAGCGGAGAAGACUUAGUGGAGAUGGAAAAACCCUGUGCCGCAGAGAAAAAAACCCUGCGUCUCUGGAAACAUUUUGAAGCCUGCUGGAGAGAGGUUGGGAAAAGGAAGAGGCCAAACUUUGUAUGACCCACUUGGGUCUGCGUGGAGGCAGACAGUGUGUUUCUUCAAAAGCACCCUUGGUCUCCAAGUGACAGACACAGGCACCCGAUGUGAAGGCGAUUUGCGAUUAUUAUUAUUUUUUCCAGGAAGAAAGGAUAAAGCAGGGUGUAGCUGAUUAGCAAGUUAAUUAUUUCUGUACCCCAAGGGUUCCAGUGGUAAGUUGUCCAGCUCUGGUAUAAUUUCACAGUCCGUGCAUUUCCCGGUGAGCACCUGGGGUGCCCAGGUCUGUCUCUCCAUCCAUCCACCUGCCUUCCUUCUUCCUCACUCACCUGGGGAGAUGAGCAGGGGCUGGGGGUGGGGUGGACGGUGCAGUAUAUGCCUUUGGCCUGGACUGUGGGGGGGGGGGGCAGGCAGAGAGCAGGGUGGAGGAAGCCUCACUGAUAGCCGUCUACCUCUGCUGAGUGUUUAAUUAUCUGGCCCUUUCUUCUUCUUUUUUAAUCUUUUGUUCAAUAAAUAUUAAUGAGGCAGGUUAUCAGAAAGUGGAGUUGCUGUGAGGUUAUUUCCCCAGACUUAGCCUGGAAAGAAACUGGGUUUGAGAGGCCUUUUGCCUCUCGCCUCCUCCUAGCCCCGGCUGUUCCGGAAUGCUCAGUAUUUGGAUGCCCAAAUCUGGCCACCACUUGUUCUGCAGUAGCCUCCUCCAGUCAGACUGCAAGAUCUGGUUUCCCCUUGGGGGAAGGGAGGGAGGGCUGUGUGGUCAAAUGACACCUCUUCUCCAAGAGAUAA